UUCGAGGGCACUGGUAUUCCGAAGGUGCAUUUAAGAACAUACUGUGACAAGCUUCUAGGAGUGGGUAAGAAUGAACAAAUCCGCAUGAAACUGUUCAUGUGAAGUCUUACAGGAGACGCCUAGUCUUGGUAUAUCAGUCAAAACCCGAAGAAGUGGGCAAAUUAGGUAAGUAUGGCAUCAGACUUCAUGGACAGAUUCAGGUUCAACACAGAAAAUGUACCAAAUGUUUUCUAUAUUCAAAACCUCAAGAAGAAGCUGACAGAAACCUUCUGCGAGUAUGAUAUUCGUUGGAGAUGAGAGGCCACAAAGGUAAGGCCAGCACUCAAAGAAGAAUAAAUGAACAAGUUCUUUGUUAGAGCUCAAGAUCCGAAGUAUUAUGAAAGAUUGAUGGUCAUCGAGAAUCACAUGUUCUCAGACAUUAUCAAGUUUGGAAAGAGAAUAGAAGAAGGAAUCAAGAGCGGGAUGGUGACUAAUUUUGAUGCGCUGCAAGCCAUAAAUAAAGCCUUGCAAUCAGGAGGUAUUUCAAAAAAGAUAGAAGUGGGUGUCAUGAUGGUAGCCAAGGGCCCUAAGUCUCCCCUCACAUACCAAACACCUCCACCUACAUAUCAACCCUCACUCCCAAAAUACCAAUACCCUACCACCGCCUACCCUACCUACAACAUUCAACCUGCACAUUACCAUUCACCUCCACCCGCCCGCCAAAACUACCCAAAGCCACAUCCAAAUUUCGACAGCAGAUCUCCUAGACAUUACACCCUAAUUGCUGAACCCAUAUCCAACCUAUAUGAGAGACCGAAGGCCGCUGGUUAUGUCACCCCUAUUCCUGCUGUUGUUGCGAAAAAUCCUUCCCAAUUGAUCAACCCUAACAAAACUUGUGCUUAUCAUUCAGGAAUGAAGGGUCAUACCAUUGAGGAAUGACGCUCAUUGAAAGACAAGAUUCAGACGCUGAUCGACACUACGGUUAUACAAGCAAAGAAAGCUCCACCGAAUGUCUGCAACAACCCUCUCCCAGAUCAUAGAGGUAAGGGAGUGAACGUGAUAGAAAUUGAUGAGGAGUGGGAUGAGGAAGGGACCAUCGAACUCAUUCGAGAGGGAGACGCUCCUAAAACAUCUCUGGUCACCAUCACGCCAGUUGUGGCACAAACUCAGGCGCCAUUUGAAGUUGAGGUAGCUACACCCUUCACUGUAAUGGUAGCUCCCACAUUAUCUUACAAGUCUGAUAUCGUCUCGUAGGAUUAUGUUGCGGAAGAAAGAAGAAAGGGAAAAGCCAAAAUGGAAGAAACAGGUGCCACACAAGGUAUGUCUAGAACUGGCAGAGUUUACACACCCAAGAAUCUGGGAGGAACGAGCAAAGAAGCUUUACCUAAGAUGUCCAUUGUUGAGACUGGCACUGACGGCCUUUGGAAGAAGAUACAAGCAAGGGAAUACUCCGUUGUUGACCACUUGAACAAGACUCUCGCUCAGAUAUUUAUCUUAUCAUUAUUGCAAAACCCAGUCGCACACAAGAAUGCCUUGAUGAAAGUGUUGAGUGAAGCUUAUGUACCCUCUGGCAUUACUAGUGGAGAGAUGGCUAACAUGGUCGGACAGGUACUGGAGAGUCACAAAAUUACUUUCCACGAAGAUGAGUUACCACUAGAAGGGUUGAGUCACAACAAGGCGUUGCACAUCAUAGUGCAAUUUGGGGACAUGUUCAUUGCCAGGGUCCUGAUAGAUGGAGGUUCAAGUCUAAGCAUAUGUCCACUAACAACUCUGAAGAGAUUAGGUAAGGGUCUACACGAGAUACGAAUGGGAAGCAUGAACGUGAAGUCAUUUGACGGAUCUCAGAGAGCCAUUAUUGGGGAAAUCGACCUUGAUCUGCAGAUGGGUCUGACCUGGUUUGAUGUUGAGUUCCAAAUGCUAGAUAUAUCUAAGACUUACAACCUGUUGUUGGGAUGACCAUGGAUACAUGCAGCUAGGGCAGUGAAUUCUACUAUGCACCAAGCUGUGAAGUUCGAAUGGAAUCAUCAGGAGGUGAUCAUUCAUAGAGAUGGAAGCAACCCUAUCUACACCAACCAAACCGUUCAAGUCAUCGAAAAUAGGAGGAAGUUGUGUGGAGAAACAUAUCACUGCAUUGAGCGGGUGAACACAAUUAAAGAUGAUCGAUGGUGGAGCAAGAAGAUAGAAAGCAUAUUGUUGUGGACGGGAUAUGAGCCGGGAAAGUGUCUUGGCAAAAAGCUUCAGGGGAUCACUAAACCCGUACAACCACAUUAUCAUGGCACGACCUUUGGACUCGGAUAUGAAUAUACCGUGCAAUAGUAUCAGAACUGGAUACCACCAUGGCGCACCCAUUAUUAUCCACUGGAACAACCCGUACCACCUAUGCACCAGACAUUCUGUCAAGAUGACAUGAUGUGGAGAUUUGAAGAAGAUGAGAUUUUAGCCUGUAUGAGGAAGCUAUUUCUGGAUAAAGAAGACAUGGACUGCAGUGAGAUUAUUAAGGAGGAGGAGGAGGAGGAGGAAGACCUUACCAUUCAGACAAUAGAGGAGGGAGUUAUUCCCAAGAACUGGACCGCGGCACCAUCCCGGGCUCGCCGAGUUCCUGGGUAGCCUGGCAAAUUAGCAUGACUUAUUUUCAAAUUGUUUUGAGCAUGUAAGACAUUUUCAGUAUUUUGUUUUGAAAUAAUUACUCGAGCCAUCGAGUCGUACUUGUUGACAUUUUAAAGUUUUAUUAAUGCAUUAUUGCUUUUCAUAUUUAUUAUUAUCUUUGUACAUUCUUUUCAGCAUAAUUAUUACAUAUCCUGAUGAACCUAUGACUGUGACAUGUAAUGAGACAACGCAACAUAAGAACAGUUAUUCAAAAGAUCUGGAAGAUGAUGUAAUACCUGAGGAAAUUAUCAAAGAAGUAGAGAAUUUUGAAAACAAACUGAAGUCUAAUUUGGAGGAAACUGAGGCCAUUAACUUAGGGGAUUCUGAAAGGGUCAAGGAAACUCGUAUAAGCAUUCAUCUAUCACCGUCAGAGAAAGAAGAGUAUAUCAGGUUCCUAAAGGAAUAUGAGGAUAUCUUCGCAUGGUCCUACGAUGAUAUGACUGGGUUAAGCACAUCCAUAGUAGCUCAUAAGCUACCCACCAAUCCCAUGUGUCCACUGGUGAAGCAGAAGCUCAGAAAGUUCAAGCCAGAUAUGAGUUUGAAGAUAAACGAGGAGGUCACCAAACAAAUUAAAGCCAAGGUUCUCUGAGUGGUCGAAUACCAGACCUGGUUAACCAACAUUGUGUAGGUCCCAAAGAAAGAUGGGAAAGUUAGAGCGUGUGUCGAUUAUCGAGAUCUGAACAGAGCAAGUCCUAAGGAUGAUUUUCCAUUUCCUAACAUACACAUACUAAUCGACAACUGCGCCAAGCAUGAACUCCAAUCCUUUGUGGAUUGCAUCGCAGGAUAUCAUCAGAUAUGGAUGGACGAAGAGGAUGCUAAAAAGACUGCCUUUAUCACACCAUGGGGGGUAUAUUGUUACAAAAUGAUGCUAUUUGGAUUGAAGAAUGCUGGGGCCACCUACAUGAGAGCCAUGACUACUAUCUUACAUGACAUGAUACACAAGGAAAUAGAAGUGUACGUGGAUGAUCUUAUCAUCAUGUCUAAAAGGAGUUCGGAUUACAUAGCAUACCUGAAGAAAUUUUUCGAUCGGCUUCAAAAAUACAAUUUGAAGUUUAACCCUGCAAAAUAUGCCUUCGAAGUCCCUGCUGGAAAGUUGUUAGGUUUCAUCGUCAACCGUCGAGGUACUGAGUUAGACCCGUCAAAAAUCAAAGCUAUCCAGGACUUCCAUCGCCAAAGAAUAAGAAAGAUGUGAUGAGUUUUCUAGCCGUUUUAUAGAACAAUCAACGGUGAUAUGUGAGCCAAUCUUCAAAAUGCUGAGGAAAGAUGCUGCAACAAGCUGGACUGAAGAAUGCCAGAAAGCCUUCAACAAAAUCAAGGAGUAUUUAUCGAAACCGCCCGUGUUGGUGCCGCCAUAACUAGAAUGACCUCUGCUGCUUUAUCUGCCUGUGUUGGAUGGGGCCUUUGGCUGUGUUCUAGGGAAACAUGAUGAAACUGGGAGGAAAGAGCAGGCAAUAUAUUAUCUGACCAAGAAGUUCACGCCUUACGAGGCCUGAUAUUCUCUGUCGGAACGCACCUGCUGUGCUUUGACAUGGAUAGCACAGAAGUUGAGACGUUAUUUCUGUGCAUACACUACAUAUCUCAUAUCAAGGUUGGAUCCACUAAAAUACAUCUUUCAGAAACCCGUGCCUAUGGGUAAGUUAGCAAAGUGGCAGAUACUACUGAGUGAGUUCGACAUCAUAUACGUAACUCAGAAGGCAGUCAAAGGGCAAGCGUUGGCUAUUCACUUGGCAGAAAAUCCCGUAGACGGAGAAUACGGACCAUUGAAGAAAUAUUUUCCCGAUGAAGAGGUUUCAUUUGUAGGAGAAGACAUUAUCGAAGCAUACGACAAUUGGAGGAUGUUCUUCGACGGAGCAGCAAACUUCAAGGAAUUGGGCAUCGGAGAUGUCUUAAUAUCAUAAACUGAUCAACAUUACCCGGUAUCCGGAAAACUCAAGUUCUCGUGCACCAAUAAUAUGGAAGAAUACAAAGCCUGCAUUUUGGGACUCAGGUUGGCCGUCGAUAUGAACAUUCAGGAGUUGCUGGUAAUCGAAGAUUCUGAUUUAUUGGUGCAUCAGGUUCUAGGAGAAUGGGCUACCAAGAACACCAAAAUAUUACCAUACUUGCAUUGUGUACAAGAGUUGAUCAAGAGGUUCACAGAGAUAGAAUUCAAACAUGUUCCAAGGACUCAGGAUGAGUUUGCAGAUGCAUUAGCCACCUUGUCUUCCAUGAUACAACAUCCAUACAAGAAUUUCAUCGAUCCUAUCCCAAUAGGAAUUUAUAAGCAGCUAGCUUAUUAUGCUCAUAUUGAAGAAGAGUUUGACGGAAAUCCAUGGUUCCAUGACAUCAAGGAAUACUUGGAAAAGGGAGAAUAUCCAAAGAAUGCUACACACAAUCAGAAGCGCACGCUCCGAAGAUUGGCGAAUCAUUUCUUUCAAAGCGGAGGAAUUUUGUAUAUAAGAACUCCUGAUUUGGUAUUAUUGCGAUGUGUCGAUGCCAAAGAGGCAUCUAGAUUGCUCGAAGAAAUACAUACCGGAACUUGCGGAAUCCACAUGAAAGGUUUUGUUUUGGCCAAGAAGAUAUUAAGAGCAGGGUAUUUUUGGAUGACUAUGGAAACAAACUGCAUCAAAUAUGUUCAAAAGUGUCACCAAUGCCAGAUACAUGCUGAUAUGAUACGAGUACUGCCCAACGAACUCAAUGCAAUGAGUUCACCCUUGCCUUUCUCUGCUUGGAGCAUGGAUGUCAUCGGACCAAUCCAACCUACUGCUUCAAACGGACAUAGGUUCAUUUUGGUGGCUAUAGACUACUUCACAAAAUGGGUUGAAGCCAUAUCUUAUAAGGCUGUAACUAAGAAGAUCGUAGCAGAUUUUGUUUGGGAUCGCAUUGUUUGUCGAUUUGGGGUACCUAAAUCAAUCAUUACUGACAACGUCGCCAAUCUUAACAGUGACCUGAUGAAAGCUAUGUGUGAAACAUUCAAGAUUAAGCAUCGGAACUCUAUAGCAUACAAGUCGCAAAUGAAUGGAGCCGUAGAGGCUACCACCAAGAACAUAAAGAAGAUAUUAAGGAAAAUGGUGGACAACUAUAAGCAAUGGUACAAAAAGCUACCGUUUCCUUUGCUCGGGUAUCACACCACUGUUCGCACAUCCACGGGGGCAACCCCCUACCUACUGGUCUAUGGUACCGAGGCCGCUAUCCCUAUCAAAAUGGAAAUUCCUUCCUUAAGGAUCAUAUAAGAGGCCGAGCUCAGUGACGCGGAAUGGAUACGGAAUAGGUAUAAACAACUAGCUCUCAUUGAUGGUAAAAGAAUGAAUGUAGUGUGUCACCUUCAACUCUACCAGAACAGAAUGGCAAGAGCUUUCAAUAAAAAGGUUAGGUCAGGGCAAUUCACACCGGGGCAAUUGGUGCUGAAACAAAUCUUCCCACAUCAGGAUAAAGCAAAAGGGAAGUUCUCACCCAACUAGCAAGGCCCUUAUAUGGUUCAUCGAGUACUGAUAGGAAGAGCGCUUAUACUUGCAGAUAUGGAUAGAGAAAUAUGGCCAAGACAUAUCAAUUCAGAUGCAGUCAAGUGAUAUUAUGUUUAAGAAUAUGUUUACACAUUCUAUUUAAUGUAACCUGAACUACGCUUGACCUAAUUCCCGUUUAAGAGGGGAUACGUAGGCAGUCCUGUGGGUUCGUUCACAUCAUAAUAAAAAUACUCAUUCCCCCUAUGGUCAGAAACUGGGGCAAGAUCUCGAGUUUGCCCGAUCUCAUCGUAUUUAGGAGCACCAAGGAAUGUAUCGCAAAAAGUAUGCAUUUAAACUGGGGCAGAAUUUUGAGGAGGAUCCUCAAAAUCCUAAGUUAAGGACGUUGCAAUGUCUCAAAAGCGUGUCACUCAUCGAUUCGACAAAAUUAUUUGCUUUCAUGCAUUAUCACAUAUUUUGAACAACUAAAUUUUUAUAUAUACGAUUUAUCACUAAUGCAUGUUUUUCAAAAAUUUCAUUUUUAUAGUAGCCAGACAUUACCCGGGGUGACUCAAAUAGGACAUCGAAACAGAAACAAAUGCAAAGCAAGGAAUCGAGAGCACAAACCAACCUUUCCCCUUCCAAAUUCACAAUUUUCCUUUGGAUACAGGCACAUGAAAUAUAACAAGGACGUCCGCAAAUAUAUGCACAUAACAAGAUCACUAUCUUCAUAUCGACAAAAGCCGCCAAGGACAAACGCGCCAAGCUAAGAAAUACUUUGCCCUCUCACAUUUAAUCAUUGCACUUCUUGCACAGGGCUAAGCACUACCCUCAUUCCUUGCUUAAGGCUAAGAACUGCCUUUCUUUGCAUGAGAUCAAGCACCGUCUCCAUUCUCCACAUGAGGCUAAGCAUUUCCUCCAUACUGCACAAGGCUAAACAUUGUCUUUCCUUGCAUGAGACUAAGCACUAUCUCCAUUCCUUGCAGGAGGGUAAAUGCUACCUCCAUAUUGCAUAAGGCCAAGCACUACCUUUCCUUGCAUGAGACUAAGCAUUGUCUCCACUCUUUGCAUCAGGCUAAGCAUUGCCCUCAUUUCAUGCAAGACUAAGCCUUGCCUCCUCUCAUUCUCGCAUAUAACUAAGCAUUACCUGUUUCCUCUAUCAAACAAUCGAUAUCAUCGCAUACUUGCAUUUCAUAGGCUGAAACAUCGCCACAUUUUUUGAAGGCGUCAUAGUUUGAAGGCACCAUCCUCAUAGCCUGAAGACACCAUUCCAUGGCCUGAGGAUCUCUCGAAACUGCACAUCAUUAUUCAAAGGCAUCAUAGUCCAAAGGCAUCAUCCUCAUAGCCCAAGGAUACCAUUUCAUGGCCUGCAAAUCCCUUAUAAUACGCUUCAUGGCCCAGGACGUCAUGGUCUAAGGACAUCAUCCUCAUCGUCCAAAGACAACUCUCAUGGUCCGAAGGGAAUUUGCAUCAUGUUCCAAUUUUCACAAUAACCCAUAUAUACUCAGGUGCAUCAUGUUUUAAUUUUUGUAGGUAACUCGGGAGGUAGCCGUUCUUCAAACAGGAGCAAUUCUCGCUCUGGUUUCCAUCCACAACGUUCACAUCCUUCGAUCACCUCAAACAUAACCGAUGAUCAGCAAUUGAUUACCCUUUGUUCUAUAACCAUUCAAAUAUCUGCCUUAUACAUCUGUAACGUUAAAUUUGCAUUGAUAGCCCCACCUGAAAUUAUCCGUUACUCACGACACUAUCCUACUCAAAAGAUCCUUUUUCGAAACACCCGACCACUCUUAUAACAACUCCAUUGGUUUAUUUUGCUGUUGGAUCCAGAACUACAUACGACCUGAUUUCCGUAACACCAGGGAUAUGUAGGCAACUCAAGAACCAAGGUUCGGCUCCCAUUUUCUUAAAACACAUCAUUCCUCACUCACUUCGAACAAAAUUGAUCAUCAUUUUCUUUACCCGGAACACUUUCAUCAUUCCCGGAUAAAGAGGGACAGCUGUUAAUACCCAAUUUUUCCCUUAUAUUUUUAUAAAUGUCAUAUAUGCUUUAAAAAUAUCAUUCCUGCAUCAUCACCAAUUCACAAGAGUCAUACAAAUAUUUUCUAUAAUUUUUAAAGCUUUAAAAUUAAUUUUCUUGCAUUUAAAUUAUUUAAAUAUGUAUCAAUUACCCCUUUAAAUUAUUUAUGUGAUGCCUUAAUCAUCCUAAUUUAUUAUUUGCAUCUACAUAUGUGUUUCAUAAUAUUUUUACUUCAUUUAUAUAAUUACAUUUGUAUUUUUAGCUAUUUACACAAUUUUUGCAAACAAUAGCCUAUAUUCUAUAAAUAGUUGCAUUUAUUAUAUCAGUUAUGCCAAAAAUAGCAUUCUAUAUUUUUGUAAUUCUGAGUUAUUAAUUUUAAACGUUUAUUUCAUAAACAAUAAUUUUUUUUUAUUAUUAGACGUUUUAAUAAUUUUGUUUUAAUUAAUUUUAUGUAUUUUAAAAUGUGGCCAAAAUCAGGCCAUUUUCUGACCGAAUUAGCGGCCCAAACACCCACACCUUAGCCCAAUAACCCCCAGAACCCAAUCCAAACGACCCCCAAAGCCUCUUCGCCUAAGCCAUUUAGAACAAUAACGAUGCAUAUACGAUACUGGAAAUCAGCAUCACCUAGAAAUUAUGCCUAUAGGACUUAACGACUAUAAUGUCUCUUAAUUCUAAUAUUGUCCAGUUUUGCCCGCGUGCAUUCCUUGCUUAUGUGUGGAGGUGAACUUGAGCUAUUUGCUGUCUUUAUGUGAAGUCCCAUAUGUUUUGAAUGCGCGAUUAGUUUUAUCAUUUUGAGCAACCUAGGUAAAGUCUAGAACCACCCAAAUAGAGGUCCAAAGCCUCCUGGACUAUAGGUGUGGGACGGAUAGAGCACACAUAGGAUAUGAUUUAGAAUUGAAUUAGAGCACCUUUAAGUAACAACUUCAACAUAGUAAUUGGGUAGCAUGAGAUGAUAGUUUGUGCCCGCUGAAUAAUAUGAGCAACCCCUACCUUAAGGGAGUUGCGAAGUAUUAUUUAUGUUGCACAGGGUGAUCCUUUAGGCUAAAAAAUAUAGGACCCCUUUCCAUAUAUACUUGUUAUUUACGUUUAGUUACCUAACAUAGACCAUUGUAGUUGUGUCCUUGCAAUCAUUAAAGAUUUGUACCGAUUCUCAUAUAUUAUGAUAAGACUCUUCGACUUCUAUAUUUUCCUUUGUUUAUUCGAUCACCUAGCCUAAUCACAUAAUCCACAUAGUUUAAAAUUCGGCCAGGACCCACAGUUGUGGACCUCGAAGAGUGCCUAACACCUUCUCUUUGAGGUAGUUUGAGCCCUUAAAAAUCGUUAGGUGGCGGCUCUUCUCUUUUAAAUACCUCCCUUUAAAAGAGUUGUCACAUGUCAAAGCCCGCUUUCGCGAGAAAACGGGGCGUGACAUCUGUUAUGUUCGUUCAUUGAAUUUGCUCUCUUCCCAAGUUCCCUCGAUUGACCUCUUUAGGAGUGUAGCAUCUCCCAGACCUAGUCAUACCAUGGGCUGUAGCAGAGUCACUCAUAUUUGCCUUCUACUUUUACAGGUACGUCCAUGGGAUGGUUUUGUAUUCUCGACUUUCUUCGUCUUUUAUAACAAUGCAGGUUGUCGUUAAUAGGUCUGAACAGUCACUGUAGGUCUCACUUGUACUGUAAUCAUUGGAGCUCUUUGAGGAGGGAUCCUGGUAGCUUCUGCAUUUCCUAUAGUGUCAAUCGUUCCCUUUAGGUCAUACUCUUCGUCCAAUGUGAUAAUGUAACUCCCUGGUUUCGAUGAUUUGGCAGCGGAUUGCGAUUCACAUUGGACGGCCCCAGAGUGCAUUGGAUGGUGCCGCUCUUGAUCAGCAUUUUAAUCUCAUUUUCAGCUUAAAACAAUCUUCAAUAUCAUGCCCAGGCACGUUGGAGAGGAACACACAUCUUUUAGUUGCAUCAAAAUACUUGGAGGGGUAUUUAGGAACCCUUCCUUCAACUGGAUGUAUCAAUCCUGCUCUUCUCAAUCUCUCCAACAAUUGGGCCAGAGGCUCAGCAAUCGGGGUAUAAUUUUUAGGACCCCUUUCUUUAAAGUUGGGACGAGGGCAUAGUGCAUAAGAUGGUUAGCUUUAGUGAGUAGUGGUUUGGACAGGAGCAUAAGGUCGUUGUGGGUUCGCGUUGUUGUUGGCUCGAGGAGGGUUGUAUUGUCGUUGAGGAUGAUAAUAUGGCUGGGUGUUAUAUAUUGUAGCGUAAGUUAGUGGUGGUGAAUGAUUGUUUGGGGAAUAGGAAGUGUUUCCAUGAUUUGGGUUGGGUUGAUAGUAAGGGACGAUUGCUGAGACAUCCUCUUUCUUCUUUUUUCCAAUACUGAUUGACCCUAAUUGGAUGGCUUUGCUGGCCACUUACAGUGCUGCCAUAGAUUGUACUUUACCAGAUUUUAUGCCAUCUUCUAAGAAAUCUCCCAUCUUAACCAGCUCGGGGAAUUUCUGUUCCAUAAUUCCCAUCAUCUUUUCAAAGUAUAUUCCUUCUAGGGCUCUGAUGAAAUACUUGGUUAAUUCAUUGUCGUCCUGCGAAGGUUGCGCCCUAGCGGCCUCUGACCUCCACCGACAUGCAUAUUCUUGGAAUGGAUCGAAUGGUUUUUUUUGCAGGUUCACUAGUGUAAAUCGAUCGGGGGUGAUCUCUGUGUUGAAUCGAAAAUGAUUCAUGAAGUCCUCCGCCAUAUCUUGCCAAGUUCUCCAAUUUCAUGGAUCAUGUCGGGUAUACCAGGUGAUUGUUUUUCCCCUCAAGCUCCUUAUAAAUAACUUCAUUCUUAGCUUCUCAUUCCUCCCCAAUCCGACCAGCUUGUCAUAGUCUGCCCUCAAAUGUGCAUGGGGAUCACCCAACGAAUAUAUCGAACUUUGGGGGUUUAUACCCUGCCGGCAUAUCCACAUUCGGAUGAAUACACAAAUCCUCGUAGUCCAAACUUGCACUUCCUCAGGCAACUUGGAGGUUCUUCAUUUGCUUUCUCAAGACUUGCAAUUGUUCAGAUACUGACUCCACUUCCUUACACCUAGCCUCUCUUUCCAUCUCGGCGCAUUGGUUAAUCUUAUAAGGCACCCUGACCAUGACAGGCACUGUAAAGGUAGGUUCAGAAAUGGCAUAUACAGGGGGAACGUACCGCUCAUAAGCGGCAGCGUGUGCGACAAGUAUGUGCUGGUUAGUGGUAAAAGUGACUCCGUCACAAGGAGGGGUGUGAGUUGCAUUGGUGGUGAUAGGUGUGUUUUGUGGUGUUUAAACAUAUUAUGGUACGUAGGGAAUGUGGAUAGGGGGAUUUGGUGGGUUUGCGGAGGUUACUGGGGGUAUGAAUCGAGUGGUAGUAAUUGAAGUUGGGGUGUUGUUGUUUUGGUGUGAUGUGGAAGGAAAGUGGUCAGGAAUCAAAUCCAAAGAAGAUAAUCGAGGUGGUUGAUGAAGCGUUAUCACGGCCAAGUGCGCUAGUUCCCCGAUAUGCCAUACUUCUUCCCUUAGAGAUUCCAUUUCCUGAGCCAUCCUGGCCAUGUUUUCAUCAUUCCUGGUGUCGUCCUUUUUCCCCGAUCACCCUGAGCUGUCGUCUAUGACCAGAGCAUUUUCAGUUGGGUUUUCUGUAGCUGACAUCUUUCCCUUUAACCUUGGAUUAUAUGGUGGUUGUGCCAGUUUUGGUCGACACAAACCAACUUUCUUUUCUUUUCGGGGGUAAUAAUAAAGCAAAAGAAAAAUAAAAAGAAACAAAAGAAAAAGGAACAAGAGUCAGUUUCUUCAUUUAUACAAGCAUGAAAUCACAUAGAGCAAUUAAUUCAUGCAUUAAGGCUAGAGUAUUUCCUAGAAUUCGCAGGGACCUCUCAUUGCUGGAGGUAGGCCUGAAUCGCAGAUAUUUGAUAGACAUUUAGACUUAACAGAUUUAGAUCUGAAGCAAUUUUGUUUUCAUUGAUAAUUUGGACUGAUAUAAGUGGGAACAAAGAUUACAUCACUGUUUCACAGAACUGCUAGGGCUUGGACAACUUGCCCUUUUGGAAAGUAAAGAGAGAACUAGGGAUAAAGGUACAAAGUGAGAAAGAAAGGUAAAUAAACCAACUCUAAUAACCAUCCCCUGAGUCGUUUCCCAUAUCCUUCUCUUCUUCUUCUAGCUCUUCUUCCGGAGCCUCCUCCGGGUCUUCUUCAAACCCCUCCUCAUCAUCGUUGAACUCUGACCCAUCCUCUGGAUAUUCUUCUAGCUCUGUGCUAGACUCUAUUUGGAUGCACUCCACUACUCAGUCAUCGUCUUUAGUAGGUGGCAAUAUAUCAUCGACGAAUCCUGGGACCACUUGGCGGUGCAUCAAAUUAGUCACAAGGUAAUGUGGCAGGUUCUCAUGAUAAAUUUGCAAAGCAAUCACUGUGUCCUCCAACAGGCAAUACCCUCUCUUCUUGCCGGGCCAACUCUUCUUCCUAGUUGUUUCAGACGUAAUACUCAGGAGUGCACCACGAGUUUUGACCCAUCGGCAUUGUGACUAGGUCGUUCCGCUUUUCUUGGAAACUUCUUAUCCUAGGGAUUGGAAUCUAUCUGUUAUACUCAUCCUUGUAUAAUGUUGUCCUUGUCCACAGGGGCAUAUCUUGGAUCAUCCCAAACUACCUGAGGACCCGCAGGGGUGAAUAUGGUUGAAUACCUUCAAUUCCGAUCAACUCAAUGAAGUAUUUCUAAGGAGAACUCAAAAUUGCUCUUCUACCUAACCAGGAUAGCUUCUAGUUGAUCCACUCCCCACUCAUAUUGGUCAGCAUUUCCCUCCACUCUUCUUGCCCAUUUGGUGAGACCCAAUGUUUCAUUCUUUCGCUGUGGCUGCGGAUCAUAUUGCUGACGCCUACAAAGUAGUCGAUGGUGGCCUCUCGCUGGAAGAAAUGUUCAACAGCCCAGAUCUAAAGCAGCAAGUUACAACCUUUAAAGAAAUCAUACCCUUUUGCACAAGCGAACAAGCCCUCAGUAUCUUAGCUAACACUAUCGACAUUAAAGUAGCUUGAAGAUUGCCACGGAAGGUUGCCAUAACCACAGGUAAUAGGUUGAUGUUGAUUCGACCUCUUCUCUGCGGGAAGACCAAUAGUCCCAAUUGUGCCAUGGUGAGCCCCACUUCAUUUCGGGGUCAUGUAUCUUUUGUUUCUCAUGUACUGUGUUUUGAGGUAUAGCUGGGGCCUUGUUGCCGGUAUUUUCAUAUUACUCUUCUAUUGUACUUAGAGGCUCCGUAGACAGGUUGUGGGUUAUGGUUGAUAUUGGGAAUUGAACUAGAAAUGUAGGUACUUGGAAAUUAUGAUUUUCAUUAAUUCUAUAAACUUGUAAUAUUUUGGAAAUUAUGAAUAAAGCUGCUAAUGUGAAUGAAAAGGAAGUUGUUAAUAAAAUCUUUUUAGUGAUUGAUUAAUGGAGUACAUCUCCUCUUUAUUCAUGGAUGAGUUUGGGUAGAAGAAAGUCUAAUAGGCUUGCUCGGCCGGGUUCUCUCGGUUGAGCAUCGAUCGUGCUCCCUGAGUUUGGGGCGUGACAAUUAGGCCUAGUGUAUCGUCUUGGGGUGCACCUAUUCUGUUUGUGAAGAAGAAGGAUGGUACUAUUCGGAUGUGCAUCGACUAUAAGCAAUCGAACAAAGUUACAAUCAAGAACAAGUAUCCUUUGCCGCAUAUUGAUGAUCUAUUUGACAAGCUUCAGGGAGCGAGGGUGUUCUCUAAGAUUGAUUUGAGGUCUGGGUAUCACCAGUUGAAGAUUCGGGACUCGGAUAUUCUAAAGACGGCAUUCAGAACCCGCUAUGGUCACUAUGAGUUCCUUGUGAUGUCUUUCGGCUGACCAACGCCCCAGCAACAUUCAUGUAUCUGAUGAGCAGUGUAUUUCAGUCGUAUCUCGACUCGUUUGUCAUAGUAUUCAUUGAUGAGAUAUCCUGGUGUACUCACGUAGCUAGGAGGAGCAUGCCCAACAUUUGAGGAUUGUACUACAGUGGUUGAUGGAGGAGAAGCUUUAUGCCAAGUUCUCCAAGUGUGAGUUUUGGCUUAGUCGGUGGCGUUCUUGGGGCACGUGAUGUCCAAUGAGGGAAUUAAGGUGGAUCCAAAGAAGAUAGAGGCGGUUUAGAGUUUGCCCAGACCGUCUUCAGCUACUAAGAUUCAGAGCUUUCUCGGCUUGAUCGGAUAUUAUUGCCGCUUUGUGGAGGGAUUCUCAUCUAUUGCAGCGCCUUUGACCAAAUUGACCCAGAAGGGUGCUCCAUUCAGGUGGUCAGAUGAGUGUGAGGAGAACUUUCAGAAGCUCAAGACUGCCUUGACUACAACUCCAGUUCUAAUUUUGCCUUCACCUUCUGGCUUUUAUACAGUGUAUUGUGAUGCUUCACGGAAUGGUAUUGGGUGUAUCUUGAUACAGGAGGAUAGAGUGAUUGCUUAUGCUUUGCGCCAGUUGAAGCCCUAUGAGAAGAACUACCAUGUUCAUGAUUUGGAGUUGGUAGCCAUCGUUCAUGCAUUAAAGAUUUGGAGGCAUUAUCUCUAUGGUGUGUCUUGUGAGGUAUUUACGGGUUAUCGAAGUCUCCAGCACUUGUUCAAACAGAAGGAUUUAAAUUUGAGGAAGCGGAGAUGGUUGGAGCUGCUAAAGGACUAUGAUAUCACCAUUUUGUAUCAUCUCGGGAAGGCCAAUGUGGUGCCUGAUGCCUUGAGUAGAAAGGCGGUGAGUAUGGGUAGCCUUGUAUUUAUUCCUGUUAGUGAGAGACCGCUUGCAGUUGAUGUUCAGGCCUUGGCCAACCAGUUCGUGAGAUUAGAUGUUUCGGAGCCUAAUCGGGUUCUAGCUUGUGUGGUUUUUUGGUCUUCCUUAUAUAAUCGCAUUAGAGAGCGCCAGUAUGAUGAUCCCCAUUUGCUUGUCCUUAAGGACACAGUUCAACACGGUGAUGCUAAGAAGGUUAUUGUUGACACUCAAUUUUGACCCUCUGUAUUUAAAAAUUAAGCUCUACAAGCUUCCUUGUCAAAAAAAAUAAAAAUAAAAAUAUAGUUUUUGCACAUUAUUUAGCACUAAUGUAAUUUAUUGAUAAUUACAACUAUUUUUACAAAAUAUGGUAAUUUUUAUCGUUUUAUUGCAAUUAGUUAAAUACUACACUUUUUGUGCGUUUUCCAAAUUUUAAGCGAUUUAUUGAUAAUAGUCCUAUUUUUCAAACAUUAGGAUAUUCUAUUAAUUUAUUGUCUUUGCAAAAAUAAAAUAAUAAUUACUACAAUACCAUUGUAGUAGUUACAUUUUAAAUAAAUACUAUGAGAUUUUUUAAUUAAAAAAUUAUAUUUUAUUUCGUAGCCAAUCUAUUUAAUUACAUCGAAGUCAGUAGAAUUAAUUUCAAAAUACGGAUCAAGUUCGGUUAAAUUCAAUAUCCUGUUAACAUCUGACGCGAUAAGAUAUUGACACGACAUGACACUGAUGUAACAUGACAUUGAUGUGAUAUGACGUGACAUGACUUCCUUCACAUUUUGACCACAUAUUUUUCUUUUACAUUUUUACAUUUUUUCUUUUCAAACUUAGUCACUAAGUUUUGCACCUAACCCCACAUAUUAUAUCUACCUAUUGUACCCACUUACCACACACCCCAUCAUAUUUUUGUCUCUUAAAAACCCUUAGCACUUUUAUCUUUAUCUCACCUCUCACUAUGGAGAGAACUCAGCUGCCUGCCCUCUUCUCUCUAUACUCGGGCGAUUUUCGGCCACCACGCUGCCGUCAAAUUUCAUCACCGACGGCCAGCGACUCCUCCUUCCCCGCUUCCUGUUUCCCCGCUUCUCUUUAUCUUUUUCUCUACUCGCUUAGGUUCUGCCGUCAAUCAUCACCGGUCGUUGCCGCUGGAGGUGGUGACCAGCCAGGCGGCGACCACUGUUUCUCUCACCUCCCUGUCAAACGCCGGUGACCCCAUUAAAACUGGUCGAUUUGAAGUUUGAGGCUUAAGAUGUGUGCAGAUCUGGCCGGAUUUAUUCCAUCUCCGACGACUCGUGUUCCUUAUCAUUUUCUUGUGCUUAUUCGAUGGUUAUUAGCUCAGAUCCGGUUUCGUUUUGGAGAAAUAUGGAUAGAACAGAUUUUUCGGCGACCUUCGUGUACUGUUGUAGACCGUUUUGUUUUACUGGACUGGUCAUCUUCAUUUUAAAUCUGCUAUAGCUUUGAUGUUUUUGUUAUGUUCUUCUGAUGACCUCUACUAUUGUCUCUCGUUAUUGUCAGAUUUUCGAUUUGAGGGAUGUUGACUCUGUUACUGUUUUAUUUUUAGCUUAAUCUUGUGCCUAUCACAUUUUCUGGCUGCCUGCAUAUUUCCAGUGGAUAACUUCGUUCCUUUACUGCGUUAUGCUACUGCUGCUCUGUUGCUUGUAUGCGUACUGUUGUUGCUAUUUUGGGGACUGUUAAUGUUGUCCAAAAGAUAAUUGGCUUAAGGCCAUGGUCUCGUCUUGUUUGCUGCAUCGUCGGAAAUACGGUUCUGGUACUAUCUUGAGGCCGUUUCUUGGAGUUGUUUUUAACUAUGGGACUUUUCAAUAUUUCUUGCUCAUUUGCUAUAGCUUGCUGCUGCUUUUAUUUCAGUUAUUUUACAACACUACUAAAAUUAACCAUGGGCAGGCUUUGAAUUUGGAAAAAGGAAAAUACUUACCUUUGGCCUCAUUGUUAUACGGGAAAAGACAUAUGUUUAAGGCCCGUAAAUGAUAUUCUGGUGGGGAAUAUUUCGUGAUGGUAAACAAUGUUGCAAUGACUGGCCAAUGAGAAUUAUUAUUUUUGAGGUCAGGACGCCCCGAAUGACCCUCCGGAAUGAGCCCAAAAUAACGAAAAUAACGAAGUGAUAAUGAUAAAUGUCAGAAAAGAAAAUUGACGAGAACACGAGCCAACCUAUGGGAGGCAACACGGUUGGCCACCGAGGUUUCUACCGAGGCAGUUUUUACUCUCAUAUCUAGAUGGAUAUCGGAUAUUACAUGUAUUUGAGCCUUUUAUAUUAUUUGUUAAAACUAUUUUCCCAAAUUAUUUUCCAAAAAAAAAAAAAAUUUAAAGUAAUCUUUCAAAAACCAAAAAAUAUUUUCUUAAAUCAUUUUCUAAAACAAAUUCCAAAAACAUUUUAAAAUUAUUUUCUAAAACAAUUCCAAAAAACAUUUCAAUUUAUUUCCAAAAAAUAAAAACAAUUUUUUACAAAAGUAUUUUCAAGUAAAAUCAUUUCAAAAAAAAUAAGUUUAUUGUUUACUUUAUGUUUUACUAACAAUUUUAUUUCUUUUCUCUUGCGAGGUACUAUCACAUGGAAUCGCUUUCGGAAUAUGACACUGGAAGCCAAAAAGGACAAAUGUUAAGCUUCUCGCUUCGUAACUUCAGUUCUUGGAUGUACAAAAUGCAAGUAUAGUGAAAUUAUAGAUAUCGUAUUUGUUAGUUUACUUUGAUAUUGUUUAUUUGCUAAACACUUAGGGAAUUGUAUCUAGUUAAUAAUCAGAGUAACUAGCAAUAUUGUAUGUCAAAUAAUUCUUGAAGUGUGUAUGAGAUGUUGAAUAUAAUUUUAUAAUGUGAUUAACUAAUUUAGGAUCGGUGUAUACCUAACUAAUUAGAUUAGUCAUAUCCAUAAAAAUAAAAAUAUGUCAUUUUCUUGCAAAAAUAAAAUAAAUAAUCUUGUCUUUGUCUUAAAUUAUAUGAGUACCUUUCCGAGCCACUUUAUAUGUAAAUUGUUCUUUAAUUGAUACACUUUCAAUGACCAUAAUUGUAAAGAAAUUGUAAUUGAAUUAUUGCACUUCUGUUGAAAGACUUAGGCCUUGUAGUCAUUUAUGUUUGGCUCGUAUGAGUUGCGUUUCAAUACCUUGUGUGAUGGCCCGAACGGUCGUUUUGAGAGAAUUAGCCCAGAACCCCUAUUUAUUGCUUCCUCCAUUUCAUUUUUGGGUUUUGUGACUUGCCGAGAGGAUUUGAUUUUGGUUUCGGAGUGAAAUGGGACACAUAGUCCCUAAAAUGGAAGCUUAAGUCAUAAGGAUUGACCGUAAUUCAAACUCUGUGAAGACGACUCCGGAAUGGAGUUUUGGCGGUUCCUAUAGCUCAGUAGGGUGAUUUUGGUCUUAGGAGCAUGUUCGGAUGUUGAAUUUGAGGUCCGUCGUCAAUUAGCGAAAGUUGAAAAAUUGGAUGAUUUUUAGAAAGUUUGACCGGGAGUGGACUUUUUGAUUUCGGGGUCGGAUUCCAAUUUCGAAAGUUGGAGUAAGUCUGUAAUGUCAAAAGGGACUUGGUGCAUGGCUGAAGCAGGACUCUGCUGGUGUAACCGCACCUGCGGAGCUUUGAUCGCAGGUGCGGGCCGGGUUGCAUAGAUGCGAAUGUUUGGACAGGCGGUUGUGGAGCGUAGGUGCGGAGGGUGUUCCACAGGUGUGUACUCGCACUUGCUCUUGGAGGGUCGCAGAAGCGGACACGGGAGUUUGAGGCUGGCCCGCGGAAGCGAGUUUUGUUGCGCAGAAGCGCGCCCGCAGAUUGAAGGUUAUGUAAGGCCUCAUAAAAUUUUUUCCUAAAAACUCGGGUUCCAUGAUGCCAAAGUAUGCGUAAAGGUUAAUAAUAGUAGAAAUUCUUCACGGCGAGCAAGCUCGCCAUGGUUCGGACUUUUUGGAUUGAACAGUGCGCUGGGAGUUGAAGGAAAAUGUUGGGCAGAAGUACGCAUUUUUGCGGCUGCAGAACUACUCUGUAGACCGCAGACUGGUCGCAGAGUGAGGCAGCUUUCUGGGGCAUUUUUGAUGCCCAAUUUCGCGGCCAUUAUGCGACCGCAUAUCCGUUUCGCGGGCCGCAUUCUUGUUGCAUAUCUCGCCUUGGGAUUUUUCGGAGGAAGGUUCUGCGGUGCACUAUGCGACCGCAGAUCCGUUCUGCAGUGCAUUAUGCGACCACAGAACAGGUCUGCGAGCCGCAUAAUGACCGCAUACCAGAUUAGUUCCUUUCCAGUUCUGGUCCUCAUUUUCGCGGUCAUUUCACGAAUCGCAUAACUAUUAUGCGGUCGCAUAUACGAUCGCAGAAUCCGUUCCGGAGCUUCAUUUAUGAAAAUUUUAAAUCCGACCCUAUUCCGUUAAAACACACCCCAUAGACCAUUUUGAGCACAUUUCUGAUAUUUUAGAGUAAGAGGGAGAGUUCUUAGAGUGGGGGAGCAAUCUUUAACCAUUAUCCAUCAAUAUUUGCUCAAUCAUUGAGGAUUAACAAAGGGAGUCUUCACCCUAAAGGUAAGAAUCUAUGUCCUAGUUCUCAAUUUCGAAAUUUUGCAAAAAAUGGGUUAAUUAGAGGAAAUUAUUGGGUGUGGAGGUUGUUAUCUUGCAUGCAUGUAUCCUUGAAGUAUGUGGGAAGAUUGUGAGCUAAAAAUGGCAGAGAGUGGGUUGGGAAAUGAUGGAAUCUUUCACAAGAAGGGGCUUAAAACAUUGAUGCACACCUAGUGUUUGCUAAUAUGCUCGAAUGAGCUAAAACAAUGUCCAUCUUUCUUAUUUUGGUCCAACUUGUUAUAUUUCUAAAAUAGAUUGAAGUAGCUAAGAAUUCCGGAUCAUUUUAGAGUUUGAGAAGCUCAAUUGAGGUAUGUUGGCUAAACCCCCUUCUUCUUAGAAUCGAACCCCACCAUGUUCAUGUAAUUGGAGUAAGCCCUUGAUUGUUAUAGAAUUGGCAAUUUCUAUGUGUUUGUGUUGAAGGAUGUAAGUUUAAUCUUUGUUCUAAAUGCGUCAUCAUGUUAUAUUAUUAUGUGAGGAUAUGUUCAAAAUGUGAAAUAUGUUCUAGCAAAGUUAAGACUUCAUGUCAUGACCAAAAUAAAGGUUGUUAUGCCAAACUGUAUGAAAACCCUCUAUGUGCCUAAGACUCCUAAAUUGCUCAUAUGUGAAUUUAACAUCUUGAAUGGUAAGCCUUAUUGUCAUUGAUAAUAAUAAUUUUGGAAUGCGGAAAAGAACUUGAAUUAUGAAAUACUGUCUAGCUCCAAGAAUAACUUUAUAAUUGGGGCCACUCGCGCCAUUGUAUUGAAAGUAUGGGAAAGAAAUAUGAAUUGAGAUGACUAAUCGAAUAUGGGUGAUGUCUCAAACGAGAUGGCCUAGUCGAUCGGGCCGAGAUCGGACUCCGUGUAGUAACACGGUGGUAUUGUAGAUGAAAUUGUGAAAAUGGUUGAUGUCUCAAAUGAGAUAGCCUAGCCGAUCGGGCCGUGAUCGGAUGCCAUGCCGCACACAUAGUAGAACUGUGCUGAAAAUUAUAAUAAAAUUGUGGUAAUGUCUCAAAUGAGAUGGCCCAGCCGAUCGGGCCGAGAUCGGACUCAGUGUAAGAAUACAGAGGUAUUGUGAAUUGUGGAAUAUCGGUACUAAAGGUCACCCAACCUAAUAAUAUGAAAAUUGUCUUGAAAACGAAUAUGAUCCUUAACUUAUUGUUUUACUAUUAUUUGAAGCCCUUAUUGAAUUCUUGACUGUUCCUCUUGUAUUAUUAUUCGUUCUAUUGAGUUGGUGUUUAGCUUUACAUACUAGUGCUAUUCGACGGUACUAACGUCCCUUUUGCCGGGGACGCUGUAUCUUUAAAUAGAUGCAGGUGGUUACAUAGCAGAUAUCUCUAAUCACAGAUAGUGCUGCAUCCUCUUCUCAGCGGACUAGGUGAGCCCCAUUUCAUUUCGGGGUUUGUAUUGUACAUUUUAUUUAUAUUAUGGUCACUUUUUGAGGUAUAGCCUGAGCCUUGUUGUCGGCACCAUCUUUACUCUCUUUUAUAUCUUUAGAGGCUCCGUAGACACUAUGUGGUUUGUGUAUGGGUAUUGGGAAUAUUAAACAAGUAUAUGUUGUAUUGAUCACUUGUUCCUCUCAGACUUUAAGAAAUGUGUAUUUUGAGACUUAAAGGCGCAAUGACUAAUGAAACGAUUUAGGAUUGUAUGAAUGAGCUUCCUACGAUAUAAUUAAUGAAAUCACAUCUUUUCUUGAUCAUGGGUUAAUUGGGUAGAAAGUAUCUAACAGGCUCAUUCGGUUGAGCGUCGGUCGUGCCUCCUGAGGAUGAGGCGUGACAAACUUGGUAUCAGAGCCUAAAGUUUUUAAGUGUCCUAGGAUGUCUCGGAGCCAUGUCUGGUAGAGUCCUUCUUAUCGGUGUGUUGUCGACCACAUCUAUAAGUUGGAGGCUACUUGGACAUUUAGGAAUAAUACCCUUGUUUGAUAUUCUGGAUCGUGCGAUGAAACUAAUUGUGCAACUGUUCCUUUCCUUUAAGUUUCAGUAUAUGGCACCUAAGAAAAGAGAAAGAACUGGCCAUGGAGCCAACGCCGCCUUAGGAGUGGCAGUUGACCCUUUAUUUGAUGAUGCGGGUGAACACCCGAGGGGUAAGGAUAAUACCCCGACUGUUACACUACUUGAUUCUACUACACCGGCCCAGGCCAUACCAGUUCCUACACCUACUGAAGGUGUGACGGUUCCUACACCUGAUAUUCCGAUUCCACCUCCAGCCCUAGCUUCCGGCUCUGGUAUUUUUGAUGGGGAUCUUAGGGGAGCUAUUCAGAUGCUGACUCAAAUAGUGGCUUUUCAUGCCUAAAGGUCGAAUGUUGCACCACAUUUUCUAGCCAAAAAGGGGAUUCUAGUGGUUCCAGGGUGAACAUGUUUCUGCAGUUGGAUCCUUCGGUGUUCACGGGUACUAAUCCCGAGGAGGACCAACAGGACUUCAGUGAUGAGAUGCAUAAGACUCUCCGGGUUAUGCGCGCUACUAAGACGGAGGGAAUGGAGUUGGCCGCCUACCGCCUGAAAGGGGUUGCCUAUUCUUGGUUUGAGCUGUGGAAGGACUCUCGGGAGGAGGGGAGCCCUCCAGCGAGAUGGAGUGAGUUUUCUGAUGCCUUUAUAGACUAUUUCUUGCCUGCCGAUACUAGGGUAGCCCAUGCCGCAGAGUUUGAGAAUCUUAAGAAAGGGAGUAGGAGUGUGUGAGAGUAUCACAUAGAGUUCGUGCUCCUGUCAAAAUAUGCUAUUCACAUGUUUCCUACUAUGGAGGCUAGAGUGCGCCGGUUUGUGCAGGGCCUUAACCCCUUAGUUAUCAAUGAGACCGCUACAGCUGCCUUGAAUUCAGACAUGAACUAUGGGAAAAUGGAAGCAUUUGCUCAAGCUACAGAGGACCGCAAGUUGAAGAAAAGGAGGGAGAGAGGGUACCAGCAAGGCCCGGUCCGCGGGCAACUUUGGGGAGUCAUUUGGUGGGGGGAGAUCAGCUUCAGGGGAGGGUCAUCAGGGCCAACCCACUCUCAUGCUCAGUCUUCAGCUAGUGCAGCGCCAGCGGGGCACAGUCAGCAGCAGGGGAGUCAUUUCAGGCCCAAUCAUGGCAGCAGGGGACCCCACCAUUAGGGCCGAUCAGUGGGAAGAUGCACUCGGGGAUUUGCUACAUGGACUUAUCUAUAUGUUACGGAUGCGGAUUGAGGGGUCAUAUUCAGAGGGAGUGCCGUUCAUCCCGCCAGGGUGCGGACAGGGGCACAACACAUCCAUCCAGUUCUGCGGCUGCUACAUCUUUAGCACCCCCUCCAGCUCGAGGCCCUCCGGCCCAAGCAUGGCGUAGUGCAGCUAGGGGUGGUGCGCAGAGUUCAGGAGGACCCAGCCGAUUCUAUGCUAUGAGCGGUCGCCAGAAUGCAGAGGCUUCUCUAGAUGUUGUCACGGGUACAUUGACUGUCCAAACUCAUGAUGUAUAUACUCUUAUUUAUCCCGUUUCCACCUUGUCUUAUGUUACCCCUUAUGUUGCUAUGGAAUUUGGGAUAGAACCGGAAUAACUUCCUUAGCCGUUCUCUGUAUCUACUCUGGUUGGCAAGUCUAUUGUGGUCGCACAAGUUUAUAGGAGUUGUGUUAUCACGGUGCGUGGUCGGGACAUCGUGGCCGAUCUCAUUAAAUUGGGGAUGGUUGAUUUUGAUGUAAUUGUGGGAAUGGAUUGGCUUUAUUCAUGUUUUGCUAAGCUCGACUGCCAAACUAGAACUGUGAGGUUUGAAUUUCCUACUGAACCAGUUGUUGAAUGGAAGGGGGGUAAUGUGAUGCCAAAAGGUAGGUUUAUUUCUUACCUUAAAGCCACAAAGAGGAUCAACAAGGGGUGUAUCUAUCACUUGGUCCGGGUUACGGACACCGAUGCUGAGGCACCUACACUCGAGUCAGUGCCAAUUGUGAAUGAAUUUUUGGAGGUCUUUCCUGAUGAGCUCUCUGGGAUUCCGCCAGACAGGGAGAUUGAUUUUGGGAUUGAUAUGAUGCCAGGCAUACAACCUAUAUCUAUUCCUCCCUACAGGAUGGCACCAGCAGAAUUGAAGGAACUAAAGGAACAAUUGAAGGAUUUGUUAGAAAAGUGUUUCAUCCGACCGAGUGUGUCGCCUUGGGGCGCACCGGUCCUUUUUGUAAGAAAGAAGGAUGGGUCACUAAGAAUGUGUAUCGACUAUCGACAACUUAAUAAAGUCACAAUCAUAAACAAAUACUUGCUACCAAGAAUAGAUGAUUUGUUUGAUUAGUUACAAGGUGCUAGAUACUUCUCCAAAAUUGAUUUACGAUUCGGGUAUCACCAAUUGAAGAUCAGGGAGCAGGAUAUUCAGAAAACAGCUUUCAGAACACGGUAUGGGCACUUUGAAUUUCUGGUAAUGUUUUUGGGCUAACAAAAGCCCCUGCAACUUUCAUGGAUCUUGUGAAUCGGGUUUUCAAGCCUUUCCUCGACUCCUUUGUGAUAGUGUUCAUUGGCGAUAUUCUUGUGUAUUCACGAGGUCGGAAG
rnacentral:lncRNA from 1 species